UACGUAGGGGGCAAGCGUUGUCCGGAAUCAUUGGGCGUAAAGAGCGUGUAGGCGACCUGGUAAGUCCGCUGUGAAAGUCCAGGGCUCAACCCUGGAAUGCCGGUGGAAACUGUCAGGCUCGAGUCCGGAAGAGGCGAGUGGAAUUCCUGGUGUAGCGGUGAAAUGCGCAGAUAUCAGGAGGAACACCAAUGGCGAAGGCAGCUCGCUGGGACGGUACUGACGCUGAGACGCGAAAGCGUGGGGAGCAAACAGG
rnacentral:rRNA from 1 species